rnacentral:rRNA from 1 species
UACGGAGGGUGCGAGCGUUGUCCGGAAUCAUUGGGCGUAAAGGGCGCGUAGGUGGCCCGGUCAGUUCGUGGUGAAAGCGCGGGCUCAACCCUGCGUCGGCCAUGAAUACUGCCGCGGCUGGAGCACUGUAGAGGCAGCGGAAUUCCGGGUGUAGCGGUGGAAUGCGUAGAGACUCGGAAGAACACCGGUGGCGAAGGCGGCCUGCUGGGCAGUUGCUGACACUGAGGCGCGACAGCGUGGGAGCAAACAGG